GACGGAGGAUGCAAGUGUUAUCCGGAAUCACUGGGCGUAAAGCGUCUGUAGGUGGUCAAAUAAGUCAACUGUUAAAUCUUGAGGCUCAACCUCAAAAUCGCAGUCGAAACUAUUAGACUAGAGUAUAGUAGGGGUAAAGGGAAUUUCCAGUGGAGCGGUGAAAUGCGUAGAGAUUGGAAAGAACACCAAUGGCGAAAGCACUUUACUGGGCUAUUACUGACACUGAGAGACGAAAGCUAGGGUAGCAAAUGGG
rnacentral:rRNA from 1 species